rnacentral:rRNA from 1 species
UUACCACUUUGUGAUUCAUGACUGGGUGAAGUCGUAACAAGGUAACCGUAGGGGAACCUGCGGUUGGAUCACCUCCUUACCUUAAAGAA